AUUUCCACUUCCACUUCUUUUUUUUGGCUUGCAUACAAGUGCAUCUGCCAGCACAUUUCUUUCGUGUUGCAGUUGUCUUGCUCUUAGCAAUACUGCAGCACUCUAAAGACAAACAAGAAGAUUCUACGCUUUUUUUGACAAUUACUUAAUAUCAUGCCCCGCUCACUCUAAUAAAAAACAUGUAAUCGUAUUUAUUUUCCUUCCAUUUAGUCAGAGGCGCUAAUGUCGGCCUUGUGAUUGGUGGAACAUGACUUUUGACAAAUCCUGCGUUAUCUGUGAAUCUGUGUUCGUGUUCGCUCGUUCGUUGCCGUUCACUUAUUUUAUAUGGUCGUGGUCGGUUAUGUGAUGUGUUUGUGUCACCAUAAAAAGCUGAUAUUCAGUCGUGUUUUUUGAUAUUUUUGUUAUUUCAUAAUCGAGUACCUUUUUAAAGGUCUAAUGGCUCCGUUCAGCUGUUGUGUGCAGACGGUGGAAAAAUUCGACAAGUAAACAUUUAUUUAAUCCAAAUUACUUAUAUUUCUAUGUAAAAUGUCACAUUAUUGUUUAAAUAAAUAAGUAAGAAACAAAA